UACGUAGGGAGCAAGCGUUGUCCGGAAUCAUUGGGCGUAAAGCGCGCGUAGGCGGCCCCGUAAGUCCGCUGUGAAAGUCAAAGGCUCAACCUUUGAAAGCCGGUGGAUACUGUGGGGCUAGAGUACGGAAGAGGCGAGUGGAAUUCCUGGUGUAGCGGUGAAAUUCGUAGAUAUCGGGAGGAACACCAGUGGCGAAGGCGGCGACCUGGGCCAAUAUUGACGCUGAGGUGCGAAAGCGUGGGGAGCAAACAGG
rnacentral:rRNA from 1 species